AACGAACGCUGGCGGCGUGCCUAACACAUGCAAGUCGAACGAUGAGUCCGGGCAUUGGGGCGCACGGCUGCGGAACGCGGGGGAAGCUGCACUUGGGUACGGAAUAACUCAGGGAAAGUUGAGCUAAUACCAGAUAACGUCGCAAGACCAAAGAUUUAUUGCCGCAAGAUGAGCCCGCGUAGGAUUCGCUGGUUGGUGAGGUAAGGGCUGACCAAGGGGACGAUCCUUAGCUGGUCUGAGAGGAUGCUCAGCCACGCUUGGACUGCGACCCGGCCCAGACUCCUACGGAAGGCAGCAGUGGGGAACAUUGGACGCUGGACUCAGGCCUGAUCCAGCCGUGCCGGGUAAGAGAUGAUGGCCUUUGUGUUCUAAUGUUCUUUUACCCGGGAAGAUAGUGACGGUACCGGGUGAAUAAGCCCCGGCUAACUACGUG
rnacentral:rRNA from 1 species